rnacentral:rRNA from 1 species
GCCAGACUCCUACGGGAGGCAGCAGUGGGGAAUAUUGCACAAUGGGGGAAACCCUGAUGCAGCGACGCCGCGUGAGUGAAGAAGUAUUUCGGUAUGUAAAGCUCUAUCAGCAGGAACGAGACAAGACGGUACCUGACUAAGAAGCCCCGGCUAACUACGUGCCAGCAGCCGCGGUAAUACGUAGGGGGCAAGCGUUAUCCGGAAUCACUGGGUGUAAAGGGAGCGUAGACGGCUGAGCAAGCCUGAAGUGAAAGGCGGGGGCCCAACCCCCGGACUGCUUUGGGAACUGUACGGCUGGAGUGCAGGAGAGGUAAGUGGAAUUCCUAGUGUAGCGGUGAAAUGCGUAGAUAUUAGGAGGAACACCAGUGGCGAAGGCGGCUUACUGGACUGUAACUGACGUUGAGGCUCGAAAGCGUGGGGAGCAAACAGGAUUAGAUACCCGCGUAC